rnacentral:rRNA from 1 species
GUCAUUGCUCUAGUACGGCGAGUGAGCAGCAAUAGCUCAAAUUUGAAAUCUGGCGUCUUCGACGUCCGAGUUGUAAUUUGUAGAGGAUGCUUCUGAGUAACCACCGACCUAAGUUCCUUGGAACAGGACGUCAUAGAGGGUGAGAAUCCCGUAUGCGGUCGGAAAGGUGCUCUAUACGUAGCUCCUUCGACGAGUCGAGUGCUUUGGGAAUUG